AUUGAACGCUGGCAGCAGGCCUAACACAUGCAAGUCGAGCGGAUGACGGGAGCUUGGUCCUUGAUUCAGCGGCGGACGGGUGAGUAAUGCCUAGGAAUCUGCCUGGUAGUGGGGGACAACGUUUCGAAAGGAACGCUAAUACCGCAUACGUCCUACGGGAGAAAGCAGGGGACCUUCGGGCCUUGCGCUAUCAGAUGAGCCUAGGUCGGAUUAGCUAGUUGGUGGGGUAAUGGCUCACCAAGGCGACGAUCCGUAACUGGUCUGAGAGGAUGAUCAGUCAAACUGGAACUGAGACACGGUCCAGACUCCUACGGGAGGCAGCAGUGGGGAAUAUUGGACAAUGGGCGAAAGCCUGAUCCAGCCAUGCCGCGUGUGUGAAGAAGGUCUUCGGAUUGUAAAGCACUUUAAGUUGGGAGGAAGGGCAGUAAGUUAAUACCUUGCUGUUUUGACGUUACCGACAGAAUAAGCACCGGCUAACUCUGUGCCAGCCGCCGCGGUAA
rnacentral:rRNA from 1 species